rnacentral:rRNA from 1 species
GACGAACGCUGGCGGCGUGCUUAACACAUGCAAGUCGAACGAAGAGCGAUGGAAGCUUGCUUCUAUCAAUCUUAGUGGCGAACGGGUGAGUAACGCGUAAUCAACCUGCCCUUCAGAGGGGGACAACAGUUGGAAACGACUGCUAAUACCGCAUACGAUCUAAUCUCGGCAUCGAGGAUAGAUGAAAGGUGGCCUCUACAUGUAAGCUAUCACUGAAGGAGGGGAUUGCGUCUGAUUAGCUAGUUGGAGGGGUAACGGCCCACCAAGGCGAUGAUCAGUAGCCGGUCUGAGAGGAUGAACGGCCACAUUGGGACUGAGACACGGCCCAGACUCCUACGGGAGGCAGCAGUGGGGAAUCUUCCGCAAUGGACGAAAGUCUGACGGAGCAGCGCCGCGUGAGUGAUGACGGCCUUCGGGUUGUAAAGCUCUGUUAAUCGGGACGAAAGGCCUUCUUGCGAAUAGGGAGAAGGAUUGACGGUACCGGAAUAGAAAGCCACGGCUAACUACGUG